rnacentral:rRNA from 1 species
UACAGAGGGUGCGAGCGUUGUCCGGAAUCACUGGGCGUAAAGGGCGCGUAGGCGGCGUUUUAAGUCGGGGGUGAAAGCCUGUGGCUCAACCACAGAAUGGCCUCGAUACUGGGACGCUUGAGUAUGGUAGAGGUUGGUGGAACUGCGAGUGUAGAGGUGAAAUUCGUAGAUAUUCGCAAGAACACCGGUGGCGAAGGCGGCCAACUGGACCAUUACUGACGCUGAGGCGCGAAAGCGUGGGGAGCAAACAGG